rnacentral:rRNA from 1 species
UGGGAUUAGAUACCCCACUAUGCUCAGCCGUAAACUUUAAAUUACACCAAAAUCGCCGGGGAACUACGAGCAAAGCUUAAAACCCAAAGGACUUGACGGUACCCCACAUCCACCUAGAGGAGCCUGUCCUAUAAUCGAUACCCCCCGCUUAACCUCACCACUUUUAGCCAAAUCAGCCUGUAUACCUCCGUCGUCAGCUUACCACGUGAGCGCAACUCAGUGAGCCCAAUGCCCACACGCCAAUACGUCAGGUCAAGGUGCAGCAAAUGAAGUGGAAAGAGAUGGGCUACACUCUCUAACAUAGAAAACACAGAAGACUACCUAUGAAACCUAGUCUAAAGGCGGAUUUAGAAGUAAAAAGAAAGCACGAGCGUUCUUUUUAACACGGCACCGGGGUGUGUACACACCGCCCC